rnacentral:rRNA from 1 species
GAUGAACGCUGGAGGCGUGCCUAAUACAUGCAAGUCGAGCGAACAGACGAGGAGCUUGCUCCUCCGACGUUAGCGGCGGACGGGUGAGUAACACGUGGAUAACCUACCUAUAAGACUGGGAUAACUUCGGGAAACCGGAGCUAAUACCGGAUAAUAUAUUGAACCGCAUGGUUCAAUAGUGAAAGACGGUUUUGCUGUCACUUAUAGAUGGAUCCGCGCCGCAUUAGCUAGUUGGUAAGGUAACGGCUUACCAAGGCAACGAUGCGUAGCCGACCUGAGAGGGUGAUCGGCCACACUGGAACUGAGACACGGUCCAGACUCCUACGGGAGGCAGCAGUAGGGAAUCUUCCGCAAUGGGCGAAAGCCUGACGGAGCAACGCCGCGUGAGUGAUGAAGGUCUUCGGAUCGUAAAACUCUGUUAUUAGGGAAGAACAAAUGUGUAAGUAACCAUGCACGUCUUGACGGUACCUAAUCAGAAAGCCACGGCUAACUACGUG